rnacentral:rRNA from 1 species
UACGAAGGGGCUAGCGUUGCUCGGAAUCACUGGGCGUAAAGGGUGCGUAGGCGGGUCUUUAAGUCAGAGGUGAAAUCCUGGAGCUCAACUCCAGAACUGCCUUUGAUACUGAGGAUCUUGAGUUCGGGAGAGGUGAGUGGAACUGCGAGUGUAGAGGUGAAAUUCGUAGAUAUUCGCAAGAACACCAGUGGCGAAGGCGGCUCACUGGCCCGAUACUGACGCUGAGGCACGAAAGCGUGGGGAGCAAACAGG